rnacentral:lncRNA from 7 species
GCCACAAGAUGCAAGAACUAAAUGUGAUGCACUAGGAGCUCUCCAAUCUCACCCAAGCGAUGCUUUAAAGGAUGCAAGUGUGUGGAGUGUGUUUAUUAGCUCUGAAGAGAUGUAUACAAGUGAAUAGGGUGCUAAUAUGCUAGUAAAGGAUAGGCACAAGUUCUAUUUAUAUUCCCCAAAGAAAUCCAAUAGUUAUUCCUUGAGUAUAUUUUGGAGGUACCGAACAUGUCAGGUGCACCAUUGAUGUCAGCACCAGACACGCCCGUUGUAUUUCCAAUAGCUCUAAAUAGGGAUGAAAACAGUUUCAAAAUUUUUCGGUUUUCGGAAAUCGUUUUCGAUUCGAUUCACCGAUAACAGUAUUUUUCGAUAACAUAAUCGGUAAUCGGUAUUGUAUUUCGGAAUCAGUAUCAAAAUCGAUUUAAAGUAUUACCAACUGUUUUUCUUUGGUUGUCGAUUUUAAUCAGAAUUUACCGAAUUUAAGUUUUAUAUUUUUCCAAAAAUAAAAAAUAAACUAGAAGGCCCAUGGCCCACAUCUUCCACUUCGGCCCGAUCUACUAGACUCGGUUCCGGCUCGGUAGGUGGGUC